rnacentral:rRNA from 1 species
UUUUAUGGAGAGUUUGAUCCUGGCUCAGGAUGAACGCUGGCGGCGUGCCUAAUACAUGCAAGUCGAGCGAACGGACGAGAAGCUUGCUUCUCUGAUGUUAGCGGCGGACGGGUGAGUAACACGUGGAUAACCUACCUAUAAGACUGGGAUAACUUCGGGAAACCGGAGCUAAUACCGGAUAAUAUUUUGAACCGCAUGGUUCAAAAGUGAAAGACGGUCUUGCUGUCACUUAUAGAUGGAUCCGCGCUGCAUUAGCUAGUUGGUAAGGUAACGGCUUACCAAGGCAACGAGGCAUAGCCGACCUGGGAGGGUGAUCGGCCACACUGGAACUGAGACACGGUCCAGACUCCUACGGGAGGCAGCAGUAGGGAAUCUUCCGCAAUGGGCGAAAGCCUGACGGAGCAACGCCGCGUGAGUG